AACGAACGCUGGCGGCAUGCCUAACACAUGCCAGUCGAACGAAACCUGCGGGUCUAGUGGCGCACGGGUGCGUAACGCGUGGGAACCUGCCUUUAGGUUCGGAAUGGCUCAGAGAAAUUUGAGCUAAUACCGGAUGAUGUCUUCGGACCAAAGAUGUAGAGCCUUUAGAUGGGCCCGGGUUGGUUUAGCUAGUUGGUGGGGUAACGGACUACCAAGGCGACGAUCCAUAGCUGGUCAGAGAGGAUGACCAGCCACUCUGGGACUGGGACACGGCCCAGACUCCUGCGGGAGGCAGCAAUGGGGAAUAUAGGAAGAUGGACGAAAGCCUGAUCCAGCAAUGCCGCGAGAGUGAUGAAGGCCUUAGGGUUGUAAAGCUCGUUUACCCGAGAUGAUAAUGACAGUAUCGGGAGAAUAAGCGCCGGCUAACUCCGUG
rnacentral:rRNA from 1 species